UUCUUUAAUUUAGCUGUUCUCCUGGAAGAAGGUUAUUCCAUCCCUCAUCACAUUUUAGACCAUUUAGGAAUUGACAGGACCAUCAACUCCAGUAAUGCAAACGUGCUCCAGGAGCUUUAUGAAAGGUGUUGGAGCUAUAGCAACCAAGAAUCAAUCAGUCCAUGCACUUUAGCUUUGCUUUAUUUCCACCUGCGUGUUUUCUGGAAGACGACUUUGCAUUCCAGUCUGAUUUACUUCCUGGGCUCCUUGUUUGUCUCUGCAUUGGCUGCAUUUGUCAUACAGUGUUUCCGGGCUCUGUUGGUUGUUCAUCGCCGGAUAUCACGAGUGCCUGAAGAGGCUCCAGCUGAACUCUCUUCCACAGAGGAAAAUACUAGUGAGACAAGACCAGCAGAGCCCAGAGAACCUACUGUGUCAAAUAAUUCAGAGGAGGAUGUCUUGAAUCCUCAGCAUCCCCGCUCCAGCAGCUGAGGCAUGCAUUUUCUCAAGAAGUGACAUUCUGAUGUCUUCAGGAGACAGAAACCUCCCCUUUCUACGCCAAUUUGGAAAAUCCCCCCCCCUUUUGCGACUUGGCGGGUGCUCUCACCGUGGGAGUAGGCUAUGCUGUUGUUGUAGCACUUCCUUGCUUGAGCUUGAAGCAGCCUUGAAGGUUUCACCCAAAAUUUGGUUAGAAAGGGGACACUUUGAUUCAAGGAGGAAGGACCUUCAGAUCUAGUGUCCUGUAGAACUUGAGGUAAUUUAUUUUCAAAUUCAGAAACAGUGUGAACUAAAACAUAACCGGUCCUAUUGUAUUAUUGGGAAAGGGAUGUUUCUGUUCCUUUAAAAUUAAUCAGGGUUUCAUUUUCAGUUCGGAGAAUUGAUAGACCUGGUUUGGGGAAAAGGACUUGUCUUAAUCAGUCGUAGUGUGCUCCAAAAUCAUUUUUGCCUUGGUGGGCUAAGGCUCCAAAAUGUCAUUUCAAAGACAGUAUCUAGGAAUAUUCUGUUCACCUUAAAUAUAUACAGUGGUACCUCAGGUUACAUACGCUUCAGGUUACAUAC